rnacentral:rRNA from 1 species
GGGUACGACCAUACUUGGCCAAAUGCACCACAUCCCGUCCGAUUUGUGAAGUUAAGCCGGUCACAGGCCUCGUUAGUACGGCGNNAWCAGUGAUNGGCGUUGGAACCCGGGGUGCCGUACCCU